GUUUGAAAGGUCACAUGAUGUUCCCAGUGACUUGUAGGGAACGGUGAUGCUGUCUACAGUACACUCACCCAUCUCCCUUGCCUGCCGUUUUUGAUGAUUUGAAGGGAAGGGGGAUCCUAAUGUGAUCUGCAUCUCUUUAUGUUAAUGAAAUGGUGCCAGCCCAUUUUCCCAGACAAUACCGGAAAGCAUAAACACCAAAUGGGGAACAAAUAGGGCCGUGAUGCCACUGUGAAACAAUCAACCCUGACACACCUACGACAGACCACAUCCCCUCUUUCGUUCGUUCUUUAAUGUCCCUAGGUGAAUCUGAUUAAACACAUACACACACAUGCACGCACACGUGUAAAUGCAUACAGGAUCUCAGAAGCUCCAGAAGGCUGUAAAACAUUAAAUUCUCUUGAUUUAUGGAGCAGCCUGCACUGCAUUGAGCAAAACAGCAUGGCAAUCUGGGGCCCCGCUCCCAGAAAUUCCUUUAUGAACAUGACCAGCCCCCGCAAGUGAACAAAAGCAGUGGUGCAGGGUGUAUAAAUCAUUAAUACGGUGCCCGGCAGUGACUGCAUUUCCUGUGUUAGUUGGAGAGCUCCUCAGCACAAUGGGGAUUUGGGGAUUGGAAUUGGCUGCGGAGAAAUGCACUCCAUCAUCCUCGGAGCAGAUAUGCUUCCCAUCAGCCUUGCUCUCUUUCUCUUCCCCACCCUCCCCAAGUCUGACAGCCUCACACUGUGUUGUAAUUUAUUCAACAGUAAUCAUAAUGACUUAAAAAUAAAAUCACGAGAAAGCUUCAAAGUUGAAAGCUCUCCCCACUGACUCCCUUUCUGACAAGUUUUGCCUUUGAAAGAAAAGAGAAAUGAGGACUCUUGGUUGAGAGGAGCUGUUUUUCCAUAAUGAUGGGCUAGCAGGGGCCUGGGCGAAUCUUGCAGAACCAGCAGUCUGAAUGGGACAGCAGAGUGUGGGUUCUGGAGCAGGGCAGUCUGGUUUCCCAUAUCGCCUCUUCCUCGUACCUGACUCAGAUCCUCAUCGAGAAAAACGAAACGAGUCCUCUCAACUCCCUGGAGACCUUUUGUGAGGGAUUAAAUGAGGUAAUCCAUGUGAAAGUGCUUCGUAGUGUGCUUGUCAUAUAGCACUCUAUAAAAGUUAUUGAUUGUUUCAUUAUUUUAAUUAUUUUAUUAUUAUCAUCAUCGUUGCUGAGGCUGGCUGGAUUCUCAGGCUACCUAAGGGAUCUUACAAGAGGCAUCUCCUACUGUUUACAGAACAGACUCACUUUUUGAAUGGAACCAAAAGGAGGCUAAAAAAAAAAGAAGAAAAGAAAGAGAAAAAGAGUUCUCAAGAAUCCUGAGUCACAUGCUCUGAAUGGAGACCCCCAGUGGAAAGUCACGCCAUUGCACCAUGAAGAAGGAAUUUCUCUACUCCUGUUUUAACUGUUUAUUGCAAACAGAAAAAAAAAAAAAAAAAGAGGGGGUGGGGGAGGAAAGCAAUAAAGCAAGCAGAAAAAAUUCCAUAGUUUUGUGCAGAUUAUUUGGAUGAGAGCAUCUGUCAGCUGAUUUAAGUACAGACAAUACAUGGAUUCAAAGCAAACUCAUUUGCAGGAGGGCUUCUGUGUUUCCAGAAAUUCAGAAGUGGCCCAGAUGAAGAGAGAUGUGAAACUAGGAGAGCCACUCCUUAUUCUUUUGCUUCAGGAUAAAGAGAACAAAUGAUCAAGCAGCAGCGGGACACAUGCUCCCUCUCAUAGGACAGAACCAAGAUCUGAAAAUGCGUGUGUCAGUCGGACAGUCCAUCCUCAAACUAGGGCAUUUGCCCAGGCACCAGUGCCAAGCACUUAAGCACCACCAGGCCCCAGAAAAAUUCCCCUGGACUCUCCCAGGUGACAAUCCACACAUUAGCAGGCACCUGCCAUGUUCAAGUUUGUGGGAAUAUACUUCAACGUGUGGCCCAGUCCCCUGUAUCACAGAAUAAUGACAUUCUGAAUAGAAAUAAAUGAAGCCCCUGCAGUGUGAUUCUGUCAGCUUUUGAAAAUAAAUAACUUUGCUACUGACAAGAGCAAGACAAUUUUUAUUUUCCCUCCUCCUGUCACAGGGCAUUAAUUGAGAUGUGCAGCCACAUUACAACCAACACCGCCAGCAGGACUGACAGUUGACAGGAGAGAAACACAGAAGAGGUAGAAGAAGCCAAGGAACCUGGGAGAGACACCCAUGUGCCUUGGGUCUGUGUCCUUGGCAGACCCUGGGGCAUAUACCGCAUUGAUUUGGGGGAGAUAAAACAUCAUGUUCAGCUUCAGUAAACAGGUGCAGCCUUUCUUUAACAUAAGCAUUUACUCAUUCAUUCUUUCAUUCAUUCUUUCACUUCUUUAAUAAAAGACUAUUGGCUGCUCAUCACGUACCAGGCACUGUUAAGUGUUUCCAUCUGGAUCUUACAAAGGUAUGUACAAAUCUUACAAAGAACAGUUAUAAAAUGGUUGUUCUUAACCCCAUUUUCCCAAAGAAGCAAUUAAAGCUCUGAAUCAAGUAAAGUCACUUUUGCUCGAUCUAGUUGGGUCAGCUAAUCAAAUAACAGAGUUUGGAUUAAGCCUUUAGUUCAUGACUUCUGUCCUACAUAGGACUCCAGAGAUAGCAAUAUUUUGUUAAACUAUGCUUUGUGGGUGGGGGAAGCUGACACCACCUGGUUCUAAAAUGACAUAGGUUUUUCACCUGAAUCUUGUAAGAUCCUGGAGAUGGACAGUUGACUACUGCAAAGUGUGGACCUCACUGCUCAUUCCAUUUUUAAAUAUCAGUAUUGUUCACUGUUGAUGAAAGACUCAUGGGGAAGGGGGAAAUCUCCCAGCUCUCAGCCUUGCAUCAGAGAAAAGCUCGCCUCAUGCCUGGAUUCAGGCAGAGCAGUAGCAAUCAGAACGACCGAAGAGAAGAGUGAGAUAUUUGCUGUUGCUUUGAUAAGGGGGCCCUAGUCCUCGAGGUGAAGCCUGGGCAAACAUCAAACGCCAAAAAAGAAAAGUCUCAUUAAGAUGAAACCUUUUGUGCAUUUACUCAUCAGGACUGGGAAAUCUGAGGCACUUAAAUCCUAUGGCUGCCUGUACUUUGUUCCAUAGCUGCAAUGGAGAAAAAAAAAAAGUCAUUACAUCUCUCUGGGAACACACACUAACCUUCUGAAUGCUUUCCAGUCUGGCUCCAAUUCCUAAUUUUGAUUCUGUGUGUGUUUAAACACAACAUAAAGAACAGAAGCAAAACGGCGACAGACUGUUCCUCACCUAGAGCCUGGUCCUGUGUUAGAAACCACAGCACCGCACACCGCCACCCCAGCCCCAUUUUCUCCAAGCCCCUGCACGCUGUAGGUGUUGGAUAUAUGCCUGCUUUUCUUUGCUGUGUACUCUGACUGCUGCUCUGCCAGACGGGAGGAAGGUGAUGCAAAGCAGAUAACUAGAGUCUUCCUCUUUGCAAAAUGGGUCAGGGGAGAAAUGAAGGAUUCUGUGCCAGACAUGAACAGGGAUUCCUGGGAAAUUCAACAGACCCGGCCGAUAUAUUCCAAGGUGUGGUGCUGCACUGACGUCUCACAAGACGGCACAAGGAUGAACAAUUUAAUAGACCCUCCAUGAGGAUGGAGGCCAUUGCUUACUGAGAAAGUCUGGAAGAGCAGCUGGCACCUAACAGUUCAAUAAACAUGGAAUGAAUGAAUGAAUGAAUAUGUGAAUGAAUAUUUGAAUGUAUCUUAGAAAAAAUAUCACAGCUGGGAUUCUGUGACUACUUUGUUUUGAGCAAAUCUACUUUUAAGUUCAAAGUAUAAGUUGAUUCUAAAACUAUUUGGUAGAUAUCAACUGUGAUGAUGAGUGAAUUAGUAAAAAUUAGUAAUUAGAAAGGGGAUGCCUGAAUGCCUGAACUUUCAGAAUCAGUGGACCCCAUUCAUUGCUUUCAAAGUACAAGCCCAUUGUCUAAGUACCUUGAUGAGGUUUUAAAAGAAGACAUCACCCAGACUCUUGAUGUUCCACAUUAACGUCUUUCUUAAGGCUCCCAUUAAAGCCCUUUCACUACCUCUGAUCCUGGAACCUAUUUCCAAAAGCCCCUGAGUGUCUCAAGAAUUCAGGAGUGGUCUUCUCUCAUUUGAUCAAGGAGCAUUCAUUUCCAUCAUUUCAUGUCUCCAGUAUGGUCCCAGAGGACAACAGAAACUACUGCAGAGACUACCACUUGCCGCGUGACCCGAUUCUACCACUUACAGUGUCCUUAUGCUCUUGGCAGCAUGCACUCUCUUUUGCAGUCAAAGCAGGUGAACUUCCCUUCCCCACUCUUAGAACACCUUUCUCAACUCUUCACAUGCCUAAUGCUCCCUUUUUCCUCAGAUCAGGAAGAUCAUUGCCUCCUUAGUGAGACCCAAGCUGACCCACCUGUCAGAUAAACCCCGACAAACAACAAGAGUCCACUAAUCCUUCGUCCCAUCACCCUGUUUAUUGCCUGAACAGCACUCUCUCAAAUCUGAAAAUACAUUCUCAAUUCACAUUUGCAUCAUCUAUGCUUUUUUUUUUUUACUGGAAUGCCAUCUCCAUGGUGGCAAGGACCUUUCCUAAUUGAUUUGGUGCAAUAUUCUCAAUGCAUAGAAACAAUUUUUUUGCAUGGCCAAGUGAAAGAAAAAAUAAAUGAGUGAAUAUGUUGUCAUAUAAGUCUAUAAAAUGGGUAGCAAUCACUGCCUCCCCUUGCUUCUAAGGUUCUAGAAAGUCCAAAUGCACUCAUUCAUUCACUCAUGCCUUAAAUUUUUUUGAACAACUACUACAUAUUAGACUUUAUUCUAGGAAUUGUGGGCAGAGUAAGGGACAGAAAUAAAAAGCCUCUGCCACCUUAUAGUCUAGCAGGUCAGAAAAGGCACAGAGAAAGUGCUCUGUGAACUGUCUGGUGAAGAAAUGCAAAUUCUUCACCAGAGAGGGAUCAGGAGUGAGAACCCAGGCAGUGGAAAGCAGUCGUUCUGCUCUUUUUCAGCCAGGACCAAUCAAUCCGGGCCACGGUGUGCCAGGAUCAGAAACAGCAUCAAGAUCCCCUUUUCCUAAAUGUUUUCUGUUGCCUGAAUGUUCCAACCAUAUAAGCUUUUUCCUAACCCCAACCUGGGGUUGCAGUGGAGGAGUCCUUCAGAAAGUCUCCUCUGCAACAGUCUCUUCUCUGUGGGAGCGGCCUGCAGGUUCGCUGCUCAUUUCCCCAGCUCGCUUGCACUCAGCAUGGUUGAAAGGCCAAGGCCAGGGCCCUCCUGAGCUAUUGUGCCUGAGAGCUGACCUUAUUUGACACAGCCCCUCUCAAUGGGACAAGCCACAUCAUGCAGACAGCCACAGGCCAAGAGGCAGCCCUGCAAAGUUCUCUUGAGCAGCUCCCGGAAAUAAGAAACUUUAUUGAUGAAUGGAACUUUGUUGGCUUUUCUUAAUUGAAUUAAACAGCACACUGGGACACCUCUCCCGUCCAUUAGGAAGGUCUCUGCAGAUGGGGCAAUUACGCCCACACUUUGUCAGCUCUGCCUCAUUCACAGGAUGACAUCUCCCACAUCUCCCAGCCCCCCUGAGGCACAAAUGCACCAACCUGAUUUUGUUUACAAUGCUGCAAUCUCUUUCUCUUCCAAAAGACUAUUAUUUGCCUGACAAACUACACUGUUUUUACCCGGCCAAUAUGAAUAAACAAGCAUUAUGUUUUUUCUCUUGGGGCAGAGAGCCUGGUUAAAUGAAUCAGAAAACCCUAAAAAAGAUUGUCUACCCUCAGUCCAUCAGCUACUGGACAAUUACUCAAGGGCCAGCUGUAAGGAAAACAGAUGGCGCGUGAGCACUAAGAACAUGGGCUGUCUCUGCUGGGCAGAGGCAGGAGCGGCCGUUGUAGGUUCGGACACAGAAACCGCCUGAAAUGGCAGGUAGAGCUGCUGGCUGGGACAGGACUCAGUCCGUGGACUAACGGAUGUUUAAUGUGAAAUAAUCCUAAGGCACAGGCACACUGAGUGACCCUGCAGGCAAUACCCACUCCCUUCCACAGGUUCCUGAAAUGGGAGAAACGGGGAACCCCAGCCCAGCCGAGAUAGGGGCCUUAUCUGGCCAAGAGGAGCCCAGCAUGUCAUGCCUUCUCCCCUGAAUUGGAAAAAUGAGAGCCACCAGGAUGAUUGAUUAAUGAACCAGUUCAUAACAGGGUCUCUCCAGGAGGAAACCGAGGGAACCAUGUUGUACCCGACAGUCGCUCAGGCCUAGGAAUGUGCUUAUUCCGGCCACUUACAUUCCUUAAACAAUUCAGACAUGAAGAUAAUCUAUUCUAAUUCUUUUCUGCAUUAUUGACACUAUUGACUACCCCCAAUCCACAGCACGAUCUAAUAAAUCAACAUGAGAUUAAGCCAAGAAGAAAGAAGGUGAUAAAAUGCCAUUUGGUACCCUAUAAAUCAUCAGGCUGAGCAGCACAAGGUAAGUAACUGGAAUGAGAAUUGAACUUGUCUACGCAGCCAUGAUUGUUAUGGUCUACCGAACGUCCCCAAAUUUAUAACCGCGGCAGGUGCAAGGGGUGACCCCCUCCCUCCUACAACCUUCGUGUGAGAGCCCAUCUUCCCAGUGACUCUGUACUGAGCACCGCUUUCUAAUUAAAGACAGAGAGGGUUGAUAUGCAGGUUUCAGUUCAAUUGCUUUCGAUCUGAAGAUGUCCACAGUGAGCAAUGGCUUCAUUUACCAGGAAUUACCCUUUGUACAAACCACUUCACUAUUUAAAACAAACCACAUGGAUCAUCAUUAAGUGGGAAAAAUUACCAAUCUUCAGAUAUCGACAGUGGCAUGGCCCACUUUGGAGGCCCCUUUCCCCCUCUGUUUAAUGUGGAUUUUAAGCAUUUCACCUGUUUUUAAAUUCAGGCUGAUAAAAGUGUUCUGGGUGAACAGGAUCAGACAGAUGAGACACUUUCUGAGAAGCAUACUGGGAGACCAGGAUAGGGGUUCAGGAACAGGGAAAAUUAAAUUCAUAUGCUAGUUAUGCUUUUUCAUGGGGUUGGAAGUCAGUGUGAACCGUAGCUCUCGAGGCAGCCCAGCACGAUGUGAGCAUCGCAGAACAAACCUCAUCUGCUCUGUCCUUGGCCUCGCCAUGCAUUCCACGUGAUGGAUGCUCUUUGCUGUGCUCCCCGUGACUACUCAGAAUGUGUAUCCUGCAUGUCUAAUUUUUGUGUUGUAUGUGUGUGGUUGUUUUCUAUUUUUCUCUGUGAGGAAAACAAAACAUAUUCUCUUUUGAAUCCACUCUUCACAAAGCCUCAAAUUUGGAAUUUGUAUUCAGAAUUUUCCCUCAAAACAAAAAAUGUUUACAUGAGUACUCACUUUGAAACUCUGGGGAGAUUCUGUAUUGGGUAUCUAUGUGAGUUUGAAGUUCACCUGAGAAAAAGAUUCACCAGCAAAGAAGGCACAAUAAAACCUCUGCAGUGUGCUAGGAAUGGAAACUGAAGCAGAGACUUUCCCAGGACAGCAAGAUUAAAACCGGCUGCUCUGGUGGCUUGCCUGUCCCAUCCGAGAAUGCUCUACAAGACACACACUAUACACUAGAGGGACAUAGGUGUGUGUACUCAUACAUGUGUACAUCAUUGCACUUGGUACCGCAGUGCCAAGAGGACUGUGCAACACUAUACCACCUUGCAACUCCAAACUGUAGUAACAUCUCCAAUGUUAAAAGAAAGAAGAAAGAGAAAAUUAAAAAAUAUAUAUAUAUAUAACCAUAGUAAAAUGCCUACCAAAGGUAGAGUUACCGGGAUAUAAAUAAAUGAAAUGGAUUAUCCUAAACAAUUUAAACACCCAAGUUGGGCUGAAUAAAUAAGUUCUUUGUGGCAAAAGGGUUAUAUUGUUCUCAUGUGGUCAUUCAGAGGAGACUUGGAUGCUGAGGUAUCCCAACUGAUUUUUAUUUUUUAUGAGUUGUCUUAGGAACAAAUAUGGGAGACUUUAGGAAGAACGGUUGGAUGUCAGGAGUGAGGCAAAGAAAGCAAAUGAUGAAGUAAUUUUCCUUUGAUAUUGGAUGAAAAAUAAGUACCAUAUGAAACUUCAUUCCAGGAAAUCAUAUUUCACUGAAGAUUCUGUGGCCCCUAAUGAGAGCUAGCAAUUUUACAAAACAAAACAAUAAAGGCUCCAAAAUAAGAUACUUGGUCUUAAUUAUUCUCUUAUGUAAUUGGUGAUCUGAGUGAGAAACAUCCCUGAAAUAUGUUUAUUCAUAAAUAAUAAUACAAUAAAAGGUUUUCAAUACAGAUAUUAUUUAUCAUAGAUGCAGCUUGAUUUUAUCAACUUUGUGAGUAUAGAUCAUCACAAUUAAAUAGAGAUACAAUAAUAGCUAAAGAUUCAUAGUAGAUAGAAAAUACAGUGGCCAUGUAUAGAUAGAAGAUGUAUAGAUUGUAUCCGUAAGUGGUUGUGGUAAUUGAAGCGAACUGUUUCUCACCCUUAAUCAGCCAGUUGUCUGGGCUGCCAAAUAAAAGCUACGACAUGAGACUUCUAUACAAACUGUGAUGACAGCAGUGACUGGAAGGGAUGACCUAAAGGUAUGGCUCUCCAAUCCUGAAAGUGCACCUUUAGGAAUGGUGGGAGGUGCCGAUAGAAAACCUGACUCUCAAUGAGGCAGGCAAAAAUAAAUGUCCGCUUGCACUGUACUUCAGGCAUUUAGUGAAACUCAGAAAACAUACAUGCAUUCACACACACACUCCCCACAUUCUGACAUUGUGUCAUAGCAUCAGCUCAUCACCAGUUCCACUCAAAGCACUCCAUGCUCUUUUGAGAAGGAGGUGUGUGCCAUAGCACAUUUCAAAACCCACCUCUGUCUGUCUUCUUAUGGGACCGUGAUGCUGAUUUAGUCACUCCUAAAUAUUUGCCACGGCUGUCAACAUUCCCUUCGAGCCUCCCCUUUCCCAAGCAGGAGUCUUGGAAGAGACUGCCAGACAGAUGCUGAGAACCCCUGCGUUUAUCCUAUAUACUUGUCCUUUUCAUGGCAAGAAUAGCCUCCCACUCAAAGUCACUCUCCUCCUUCCUAAGUUGUGCCUGCAUGGGCAAACCAAUUUAACAAUCUAGAAGGAAGAAAGACCAAUUUAUUAAAAAAGAAUAAUGCACAAAGAGACUGUGAGAACACUGAAUGGCUAGAGCAUUCUACUUGUUAGGCAAUGCUGUUCAAAUUGAUUAAUAAAUACUAUGAAAGAAGUGAAUGUAGGAGGCAAAAGAUCAACUCAUAUUAAUAAUUAGAUUAAAUUCAACUAAGGCUGAGCAUCUGUAGAAAUGCUCAUUAGAAUACUGGUAACUGGUGUUAAACACACACACACACAGUGAAGACACAGAAAUGGAAGAAGCAGAUGAAAUGUUUCCUGGCACAAUUUACUUAAAGAGAAAUGGAAUAAAAUAAUAUUUAAAAGGAUAAACCAAUUUCUUCCCAAGAUAUUAAAAUGAUAUAAAAAGGCUGUUCUCAAAAAGACUUGCAAUAGAAAAUAUACCUAAAAAAUAUUUUCUGGAGGCAACCAACUUGAUCACAAAUUACCCAGGUGUUCAAAACAGAAUCUUGACAUUUUAUAAUCCAUAUAUUCCUAUAACAGACUGACAUGGAGAGUCUUUGGAGAGGAAACCCCCUGUCUGGACACUUAUGAAGGAACUUCAGUACACCACAACCACACAUAGUUGACAAAUGGUACUCUGGAAGGGAGUCCAUCAAAAAACCGGACAAAAUGACUGCAAUCACUGUUAACUCUUCCUCCAGCAGGAUGGGGCAGGGAAAAGGAUUCCCAUCUGUACAAAAAAAAUAUACUUCCAUCUCUGCCAGUUGCAUCCACAGCCCCUGCCCAGUGAGAGAAAACUGAGCUUGUCACCCCCUCCCUCUCAAGGCCACAUUGAGCUGUCCCCCAAACCCAGAAACCAACUUAAGCAGCAGCUCUACUAGUGAAGCAAAGAGAGACAGGCAAGGUCCACGGGAAACACCCAGAGAAAGAAACACAAUGAAAGAUUCUGAAAUGUACACAGAAUGGAAAACAAACACAAAAUCUCACAGCAAGACCAUUAAGGGAGAGUGGAGGAAGAAAAAAGAAUUUUAAAGCCUUUUACACGCAGUAACAAAGACAGCAUCCUAAACAGCUCGCCUUCAUCACAGCACUGCCAGGGAGUUUGGAGGCAGAUUCUGGGGCUGACUCGCUCCAGAAACCCAAGGGCUCUGAUUCCAAAAGCAACUGAAGAUAGCACCAUCCAGACAAACUUAAGAAAACAAAAAUACUGAGCACACACACACAUACAUAUAUGUUUUUUCACUCCCUAUUAAAGCUGCUGAAUUGAAACUGCAAGCACCAAAUGCCUCCAGAAAGAUCCAAACUCUUGGCAUCAGAGGGGGUAGACUCAGAUCACCACCGACGCACUGGCACGAGAAAGAUGCGAGUAAGGCGAAAGCAGUUUGCAAUUUCAACUCCUGUUACCCAAGCUUGGAAACAGGCUUUCAAAGUAUGCACAGAGGGGCACAGACUGCUGGGCGCGGGGUAGCUGGGGUCCAUGGAAAAUGAGGGGCUCCGACGCAGCCCGCCUGUCCAAAAGCACGAGCCCCCUCCCAAUCCCCUCCAAGGUACCAAAGCACAGCCCAGCGACGCGGGGACCGAGUCCGUGAGCCUGGGAAGCAGCCACCGAGGGCAAGCCGCGCGCCUUACCUGCUAGCAAGAGGCUGUCUGAACAGCAUCUUUUCUGAUUGUUUGGGUUCCCUACAUGACACCUUGCUUCAGGCUCGCCAGUGUCCUCUGAGGCAGACACACUCUGAAAGUGCUGGAGGACCCUCGGGAAGGAACACUUCGGGCAGAGCCCAGGACUGGCCCUGGGGUACCCCCGACAUCUCCGUGGGGCUCGCAGGGACACUCUUGGCCAAAAGACAGCUUCUGAACUGAGCCAUUAGUUCGCAAGACACAAUUCCCUUUGCUGGCUAAUCAAAAUGCUUUCUGAAGAAAAGCAAAUUAAUGAUACCACAGCUCCAUUUUUUGUUGUUCUGUUCUGAAACGCCAUCAAUAACUAUAAAGUCUUCCCUAUGCCGAACACUAGGCCCCAGCCAGGCUGUUUCUUUCUAUUCCUUGCCCUCCAACACCCUGCAACGCACACAUCCCAUCCGUUUAGAGGGAAUACAGGGGCAUGGUUAAGCCUAAGUGAACUAAUAUGGGCGAUCAGGGAAGUACAGGCUGGUAUUUUAUGUAUUUUUUGGAGGGAGGGGGGUUGGCAGUGGUUAGUUUGAAAAAUUGGCGCUGUGUAUAUUAUCUGAGAGAUCAUAUUCAUCAGCUAAGGUCUGAUUCACAGACAAAAUGUUCCCCUCUUUUCUGUCUUCUUAUUUUUUUUCUUACUUUCUGCCUGUCUUUUAUUUUUUCUAAAUUUUGCAAUUCAUAAAAUCAAAAGAAAAGCCAUUCUGCAAAAGGUAGAAUGGAAUAAAGGGUCAAAGAUCCCGCCUGUCCCAUCCCGACUCUCCCUCUCGCACUCCUUCCUUUUGCCUCCAACACGGCUGUGCUGACAGGGGUUCACCCUACUUUCCUUCACUUUUUUUCUCACUGACAUUGCCAAAGCCCGAGAAUACCCCGAAAAGAGGACAGACUUUUCCCUUCAGCUCAUUUUCAUAAGAAACACGAUAAAUAAUACAUGGCACUUUAAUAAGACCUUAUCUGAAUGGUUUAAUGAAAAACAAAUACAUUACAUAAGGAACCCAUAACUGCUCUCAGAUGCCCUGAGCCAACUCUGGUUUUCCAGUCUGUUUUCUCCCCAAAGUUGAAAGUGCUCAGUGCUGAUUGGAUUCCUACAGACCCAUUUUGCAUAAUGGCUCAGACUUCCCCUUAAACUUGGGUCUUCACAGUCAGGCACAUUGGGAGUCUGCAAAGUGAGACAAUGGGAUCCAGAGCUUCUAAAUGCACGUCACAAUGAUUUGGGGCUACACUCUGUUCCCUGGACAGCUACAUCCCCACAUCCCCACACAAGUGUCGUUACGCACAGAGACAAGUACGCACCUAUCCGCAAGAUACCUGCUUACAGGACCGGUAGGAAAGCUUUUACAGGGCUGACUAUCAGUGCACAUCAAUCAGGAACAGAACACUUGAUGACCCCAGAUGAAAUGGUGACACCCUAGCUGCCACUGUUGCUCACUCAAUGCCAAAACUCAGCCAGGCUUUUAAGCAGCAUCUGAGAUGGAAUUUAAAUUUCAUCU